CCAAGACUUCCCAUUUCUUUGUGUACAUGGAAUCUUUUGCCUUGAUGCCAGGAUUGCUUCAAGCCAUGAAUAACAGACUGUGUGUUCACUUGAGAUUAUUUUCAAAUAGUACUUGUUAUCCCUCCUGACACAUUGAAUUACUUUGUAUUCUGCUCUUGACAUGAUAAAACUUACUGUAUUGUGUGGUAGAAAAUUUUUUUAGUGUAGGCAAAUAUAACAAGGAUACAAAAAUCAUCUGCAGUCCAUAAUCCAUGGAUAAUCACCAUUAAUUCAUACUUUUGCCCACUGCAGAGGUGGGCAAAAGUAGGUUUACAGUUUGUAUGG